GUCACUGGGCAGGGCAGGGCAGGGACUCAGGGAGAAUGACUAUGGUAGAAACAGGACCUGUCACUGGGCAGGGCAGGGCAGGGACUCAGGAGGAAUGACUAUGGUAGAAACAGGACCUGUCACUGGGCAG
rnacentral:lncRNA from 13 species